rnacentral:rRNA from 1 species
UACGUAGGGGGCUAGCGUUGUCCGGAAUCAUUGGGCGUAAAGCGCGUGUAGGCGGCCCGGUAAGUCCGCUGUGAAAGUCGGGGGCUCAACCCUCGGAUGCCGGUGGAUACUGUCGGGCUCGAGUACGGAAGAGGCGAGUGGAAUUCCUGGUGUAGCGGUGAAAUGCGCAGAUAUCAGGAGGAACACCAAUUGCGAAGGCAGCUCGCUGGGACGUAACUGACGCUGAGACGCGAAAGCGUGGGGGGCAAACAGG